rnacentral:rRNA from 1 species
UACGGAGGGUGCAAGCGUUGCUCGGAAUUAUUGGGCGUAAAGGGUAGGUAGGUGGUCUCAUUUGUCGGGGGUGAAAGCCUUGGGCUUAACUCAAGAAGUGCCCCCGAAACGGUGAGACUCGGAGUCCUGGAGAGGCGAGUGGAAUUCCCGGUGUAGCGGUGAAAUGCGUAGAGAUCGGGAGGAACACCAGAGGCGAAGGCGGCUCGCUGGACGAGGCACUGGCACUCAACGUACGAAAAGCGUGGGGAGCAAACAGG